rnacentral:rRNA from 1 species
GACGAACCACCCAAACGUUAUUCGGAAUCACUGGGCUUAAAGAGUGCGUAGGCGGUCAUGUAAGUAGGGUGUGAAAUCCCACAGCUCAACUGUGGAACUGCGCUCUAAACUACAUGACUAGAGGGAUAUAGAGGUGAGCAGAACUGAUGGUGGAGCGGUGAAAUGCGUUGAGAUCGGAAGGAACGCCCGUGGCGAAAGCGGGCUCCUGGACCCCACCUGACGCUGAGACGCGAAAGCCAGGGGAGCGAACGGG